AUACGUAGGUGGCAAGCGUUGUCCGGAUUUAUUGGGCGUAAAGGGCGUGUAGGCGGUCUUGCAAGUCAGAAGUGAAAUUCCUGAGCUCAACUCGGGCGCUGCUUCUGAAACUGCAGGACUUGAGUGCUGGAGGGGAUAGCGGAAUUCCUAGUGGAGCGGUAAAAUGCGCAGAUAUUAGGAAGAACACCGGUGGCGAAGGCGGCUAUCUGGCCAGUAACUGACGCUGAGGCUCGAAAGCAUGGGUAGAGAACAGGAUUAGUUACCCUGGUACUCCAUGCCGUAAACGAUGAAUACUAGGUGUAGGGGUUGUCAUGACCUCUGUGCCGCCGCUAACGCAUUAAGUAUUCCGCCUGGGGAGUACGGUCGCAAGAUUAAAACUCAAAGGAAUUGACGGGG
rnacentral:rRNA from 1 species